GCGACUCCUGCGCAAGCGCAGAGUGAAGGGCCGGGAACAGUGGAGGGUGCGAGGAAGACAAUGGGGGAGGACCCUGAGGCGGCCUCUGUGAGCCGACAGGAACACGUGGUCGAUCAGAGAGAGACUCGAGGUUCGUGAACGGAUGGGGAGGACCCUGAAAAGCACUGUGGAAUACAGGUUUCUAGUAACUUCAAAAUCACAUCAUUUGGACUGGGUAAGAAUUGCUGAAACUUUAAUGAAAAGACUGACUGGCUUAUAAAACUGCUAACCCAAAUAGAAUAAAAAUUAAUUGAAUACCGAGGAAAUGCUUCACCAGGUUUGCAUACUUAAUCAGCCUAUACUGAAAUUGUUUAGAUAUACAAUUUGAAUGAACUCCAUGGUCUAAGUCAAAUUACCUGUGAUAACCCAUCAGUUAUCCAUGCUAUGUGCCCAAUUUGGAGAAACAACUGGCACCCAAGAGGACAUAAGUCCGAUGUUAAGCAUGGACUCAUGGAGAACCAAGAUGGCUGCCUUGUCCUUCGUGAGUCCUUAAAGCUUUUGUUAUUAAAAGUUAUGCAUUCCAUGACUCAUCCUGGAAAAGAUAAAAUGAUCCAAAUUAAAUAUGUUGGUGUGGUGACUUACAGAUUGUUAAAAUAGUUUAUAAACAAUGUUUAGUUUGUCAAACCCAUACUCCUGGGAAGUCAAUCAAAGCUUCAUGUACAUUUGGCUACCUGAUGAGGCAUUUAAACAUUUAUAAAGGGGUUUCAUUCAGUUGUCAUUUUCAAUGUAUGUGUUCUGGUUGUACUAAAGCUUUCCCAUGCAGGAGGGCUAAUGUUAUAACAGUAGAUUACUAUGUAUCAGUGUAUUUUCACCAGGUAAAGAGCUUUUUAUGGUUCACUGAGGACAAUCAACCCCUUCACAAUCUAGAACCCAAAGAUGGGAUCUUCUGAGAACAUCAGAGAAACGCUGCCCUUGGCAUCAUCACUGCAACAAAACAUCAGGAUCUUGAACCUUGGGGUCAUAAUCUCACAACUGAGCAGGGUCACUCUUGGAACUCUACAUCCAUUGAAACCCUUAAGGUAAAGCUAAUCAGGGAAGUUUCUCCCCAGAAGAAGAUGGCAUCCUUGAUGUGAGCAGCUCUUUCUGAAGAUCAUGGAUCAAGACUUCUUACUAUCAUGAGACUCUUAUCUUUGAAUGUUUUUCCGUUGCUUCCGCCUCUGUGAACAACAGAAGUGAGAAGGGGGUCUGUUUUGUGCACUUAUGGGGUAUACUUUUAUUUGUGAAGGGCUUUGCAGCCAGCUUUAUACAUGGAUAAUCUUAUAACUUGAUAGAUAAAGAUGAAGGCCCAGUGUAUCAUAGGUGAGAAACUUCAAUGGUACAUAUGGUGCCUCAUAAUCAUUCAGAAGCAGAACAUUGGUUCACUCCUCUUAACCCACAGCAUGGGUUAAAGAGACCAUUGCCAAGAGGCCUUCCCUCUUCUAGAAGGGCAUCAUUUGUUAGGUCCUUUUUCCAUGGUUUGGAAUUAAAAAGGCAAU
rnacentral:lncRNA from 1 species